rnacentral:rRNA from 1 species
AUGGCGACGGCAUGGGUGCGGUCCCUCAGCUGCAGGUCCUACGGCGUGGCGGACGCCGUCGUCGCGCCGUCCCCGAGCAAGAAGGCCCAGCCGCUUCUCCCUGCGUCGUGCGGCGCCGCGGCGGACGUGAGGGACUCGGUGGCGUCCGCGCGGCAGGCGUGGAAGCAGCAGAAGCCGCGCCGGGAGCGGCGGAGGGACGGGCAGGAGAGGCAGCAGGAGUUGGCGAGACCGCGGCCCAAGAAGAAGCCCAAGCAGACGGCGGCCGCGUUCAUGCCGUCGCCCGCCACCGCGCCCGCGAGCUCGGCGUUCCUGACCAUGGCGGAGCUGCCGGAGGGCCACUCGUCGCGCCAGGUGGUGGAGCUCAUCUUCUCGUCCGGCUGGGACCUGACGGCCACCGCGCCGCCGGAGGUGGAAGCGAUGUUCCGCGUGCACAGCGGCGCGCGGGCGGUGGCACGGUUCGAGGAGGCCAGGGCGGCGGCACGCGCGCACGGCGCCGCGGCCCGGUGCGGCGCCGACGGCAACGAGAUGAUGCGCUUCCAGUGCCGCCCGGCCGCGGGCGCGGGCGUGGGCGGCGUCUUCGGUGCUGGCGUCGCCACCUGCCAGCUCGGCCCGUCCAGCUCCGCGGUGCGCACCUUCGCCUGCAGCGGCACCGCGCACGCCAGAGCCGCGCCGUCGCCCGGCGCGGUUCGCAGGGCCAUGCUGGUGUGCCGCGUCAUCGCCGGGCGCGUCCGGCCGGCGCACGGCGACGACCCGCUGGCUCUUCGGCACCGCUCCUCGCACUACGACUCCGUGGACAUGGGCAACGGCGAGCUCGUCGUCCUGGACAGCCGCGCCGUGCUCCCCUGCUUCCUCAUCAUCUACAAGGUCUAG